rnacentral:rRNA from 1 species
GACGAACGCUGGCGGCGUGCUUAACACAUGCAAGUGGAGCGACGAACCAGGGCUUGCCCUGGGGCAGAGCCGCGAACGGGUGAGUAACACGUGGGUAACGUGCCCCGAUGACUGGGACAACCCGGGGAAACCCGGGCUAAUACCGGAUGUGCCCCCUCACAUCAGUGAGGUGUGUAAAGGAAGCUUCGGCCUCCGCAUCGGGAUCGGCCCGCGGCCCAUCAGCUUGUUGGUGAGGUAACGGCUCACCAAGGCUGCGAUGGGUAGCUGGUCUGAGAGGACGAUCAGCCACACUGGGACUGAGACACGGCCCAGACUCCUACGGGAGGCAGCAGUGGGGAAUCUUGCGCAAUGCGCGAAAGCGUGACGCAGCAACGCCGCGUGGGGGAAGACGGCCUUCGGGUUGUAAACCCCUUUCAGUUGGGACGAAGGUCGGGCGGUUAACAGCCGUUCCGGCUGACGGUACCUUCACAAGAAGCCCCGGCUAACUACGUG